AAGUUAUAGUCCAAGCUUUAGAAUAAAGAUUAAAGGUAAGACUAAGUUACUUUCUUGCCUACUAAGAAAUCUAACUACUCUAGCUAAUAAUGAAGCCACUGGGAUGGCAAUAAUUCCUGUUCAUUUAAUGUUACACAGUGACGACAAAAACAAAGUCCCAAGAUUCUCCAUAUCUGAAAAAUAUUGUUACUUAUUCUCCCCAUGCAGCAAGGGGGCAAUUGGGUAUGGUGGUGCAAUGCUUGCAGUUUGCUCAUGUUCAUUACUUGCCCUGCAACCAUGUCUAUGUUCUCUGAAUCCCUCUCUAUAAAAUCUAUAACCUGUGGCUGAAGUUUCAAAAAAGUUUAAAUGUCUCCUUAUAUUUUAGGUUUUACUUCAUUGGGUAAUAUCAUCUAUAAAUGCUUCCCAAGCAUUGAUAGAAAGCAGGAAAACUGUGGGUGUUCAAUGAAUUUUAUUUUUUGGCAGGAAAAAAGACAAUGUUGGUAUUAGAAGGAUCUGCUAUGCCUCUGAUUGCAGGUGUGUUGGUGAUGACAGUGAUUUAUGUUGCUCUAUUGGCUGCAGAGAAGUCAUGGAGUAAAAGGGCAAGCAUUCCUCCGGAUUGUUGUUUUCCAUUCAUAAAGGAAUAUGGAUAUGAGUUCAGGGCUUCUUCAAUCAAUUGAAGCCUGUGCAGGAAACCCCAGGAGGAAGUUCUGUGAAAUGUUGACAGAUUGUUUAGUUGCAUGAAUUUUUGCAGAGGGGAGGAAAAAGGAAUGAAAUCAAGGAAUACUCAGGAUUGGUAGGGGAAAGCAUGAUGUAAAUUGAUGAACUCUGGUGAAAAUCAAUGUAAUAGAUCAGAUUGCUUCCAUGUGGAAAUCCAUAAAAAUAUAAACUAUUUUUCUUGUA